rnacentral:rRNA from 1 species
GAUGAACGCUGGCGGCGUGCUUAACACAUGCAAGUCGAACGAGAAAUGGAGACGGACACCUUCGGGCGGAAGGCUUCAUUUCGAGUGGCGGACGGGUGAGUAACGCGUGGGUAACCUGCCUCAUACAGGGGGAUAACAGUUGGAAACGACUGUUAAUACCGCAUAAGACCACAGCACCGCAUGGUGCGGGGGUAAAAACUCCGGUGGUAUGAGAUGGACCCGCGUUCGAUUAGCCAGUUGGCGGGGUAACGGCCCACCAAAGCGACGAUCGAUAGCCGAUCUGAGAGGAUGACCGGCCACAUUGGGACUGAGACACGGCCCAAACUCCUACGGGAAGCAGCAGUGGGGAAUAUUGCACAAUGGGGGAAACCCUGAUGCAGCGACGCCGCGUGAGUGAAGAAGUACUUCGGUAUGUAAAGCUCUAUCAGCAGGGAAGAAAAUGACGGUACCUGAGUAAGAAGCCCCGGCUAACUACGUG